UCUCUGCUGGUCCAGUGGCUAAGACUCUGCACUCCUAAUGCAAAGGGCCCGGGGUUCUAUUCCUGGUUGGGGAA
rfam:Ovis aries breed Texel chromosome 7, whole genome shotgun sequence.